GACGAACCGAGCGAACGUUGUUCGGAAUCACUGGGCUUAAAGGGCGCGUAGGCGGGCUGUCAAGUUUGGGGUGAAAUCCCGCGGCUCAACCGUGGAACUGCCUCAAAUACUGACGGUCUCGAGGGAGGUAGGGGCGAGCGGAACUGAUGGUGGAGCGGUGAAAUGCGUUGAUAUCAUCAGGAACUCCGGUGGCGAAGGCGGCUCGCUGGACCUCUUCUGACGCUGAGGCGCGAAAGCGUGGGGAGCAAACAGG
rnacentral:rRNA from 1 species